GACGAACGCUGGCGGCGUGCCUAACACAUGCAAGUCGAACGGGGUGAUACCUUCGGGUAUCACUUAGUGGCGAACGGGUGAGUAACGCGUGAGGAACCUGCCUCUCAGUGGGGGACAACAGUUGGAAACGACUGCUAAUACCGCAUAAUGUAGCGAGAUCGCAUGGUCUUGCUACCAAAGCUUUAUGUGCUGAGAGAUGGCCUCGCGUCUGAUUAGCUAGUUGGUGAGGUAACGGCUCACCAAGGCGACGAUCAGUAGCCGGUCUGAGAGGAUGAACGGCCACAUUGGGACUGAGAUACGGCCCAGACUCCUACGGGAGGCAGCAGUGGGGAAUAUUGGGCAAUGGGGGAAACCCUGACCCAGCAACGCCGCGUGAAGGAUGAAGGUUCUAUGGAUUGUAAACUUCUUUUGUCUGAGGGUAAAAAAGCGGACGUGUCCGUUCUUGCAAGUAUCAGACGAAUAAGCAUCGGCUAACUCCGUGCCAGCAG
rnacentral:rRNA from 1 species